rnacentral:rRNA from 1 species
ACCUGCGGAGGGAUCAUUACUGAGUUUACGCUCUAUAACCCUUUGUGAACAUACCUAUAACUGUUGCUUCGGCGGGUAGGGUCUCCGCGACCCUCCCGGCCUCCCGCCUCCGGGCGGGUCGGCGCCCGCCGGAGGAUAACCAAACUCUGAUUUAACGACGUUUCUUCUGAGUGGUACAAGCAAAUAAUCAAAACUUUUAACAACGGAUCUCUUGGUUCUGGCAUCGAUGAAGAACGCAGCGAAAUGCGAUAAGUAAUGUGAAUUGCAGAAUUCAGUGAAUCAUCGAAUCUUUGAACGCACAUUGCGCCCGCCAGCAUUCUGGCGGGCAUGCCUGUUCGAGCGUCAUUUCAACCCUCAAGCUCUGCUUGGUGUUGGGGCCCUACAGCUGAUGUAGGCCCUCAAAGGUAGUGGCGGACCCUCCCGGAGCCUCCUUUGCGUAGUAACUUUACGUCUCGCACUGGGAUCCGGAGGGACUCUUGCCGUAAAACCCCCCAAUUUUCCAAAGGUUGACCUCGGAUCAGGUAGGAAUACCCGCUGAACUUAAGCAUAUCAAU